rnacentral:rRNA from 1 species
AUGGAGCCCGUGUCGGAGCAUCGGCAGCUAAAGCUCUCCGACGCCGCCGGCGUCGCCGCUGGAGGCGGCGAGGACGAUCUUCAGAACGCAACCGAGAUGAUACUCGACCUAGGUCUUACUGGCCUCACCCUGCCGCCUUCCGGCGUAUUUACCCGGCUCACCGAUCUUUGGCUGCGUGACAUCCACCUGCACCGCUCGUGUAGCCUCAGUGAUCUCGUCUCUUCACCACGGUGUCCAUCUUUGCUGCGCCUUUCCCUUUGCUCUGUGAGUGGUCUGGAUAAUUUCACAAUCCACUCGGAGUCACUCGUAAAAUUGGAGCUGAGGGAUCUGAGCUUGCAGCAGCUCAAUGUUGUCGCGCUCCUUCUGCAAACGCUACUAGUAUGCAACUGCUUCGCCGAUAUUCAGAGUCAGCCCGUUGCCAACAUCUCAGCCCCUCACCUGGUGACACUUGAUUGGAGGAGCUUUUAUGAUCCUAGCUCCCUCCUGCUUGAUGAGAUGCCACAUCUCCAACAGCUGACCGCCAAUCCCUUUUUUGCAUAUGGACCAGAUGUGUUUUCUAAAGAGUUGCUCAACGCUUCUGCAGCAUUUCGACCACAUCAGCAAACGUUAUCUGAGCCUUAUCUAUCCACGGGUGUCAGUGAGUUCAUUCUUAUCUUGGCAUUGCUUGUAUUGGCAUGUGGACAUUCCUUUGGAGCCAGCUUAUUCCACGUUCUCAGGAUGUCUAGUGGUAUAAGCCGGUUCGAGCUUAGACUUCUCGACAGGCGAAGCGAAUUGGAGACGCACUCUCCGUUGCAAUCAGAUUGCAUUUGUGCUGAGCCAUCAAACUGGGAAACCGACGAACUCAAACUCAAUUGCCUUAAGGAAGUAGAAAUCCAUGGCCUGAAAGGAACAGAACAUGAAGUCGCCCUCAUGAAAAGGCGCACCGCAUCGCUCUUCCCUCCUGCUUCCAUGGAGCGCAUGCCGGACAAUCGGCGGCCAAAGCUCUCCGACACCGCCGGCGUCCCCGCUGGAGGCGGCGAGGACCGGCUCAGCGCGCUGCCGGACGACCUCCUCAUCCACAUCCUCCUCAAGCUCUGCGACGCCCCCGUCGCCGCUCGGACCAGCAUCCUCGCCCGCCGCUGGCGCCGCGUCUGGGCUCUCCUCCCGGAGCUCGACUUCCCCGCCGCCACUAACCCCGACGGUAUUCGCGCCGCCCUCGCCGCCCAUGAUGCGCCGGCCCUCGGCCGCCUCUUCGUUGACGCCAUCGAGGGUGAGGCCGCCCCCGAAUCCGUCGCGGCAUGGCUCACCAUCGCCGCGCGCCGCCUCUCCGGUGUCCUAGAUUUUAAUAACAGGCAGAAAAUGGACGGCUCCUCCGCCGCAUCUCCCUUGAAGCUGCCUUGCUUUCAGAACGCAACCGAGGUCAUGCUCGAUCUAGAUUCCAUUGGCCUCACCCUGCCGCCUUCUGGCAUAUUUACCCGGCUCACCGAUCUGGAGUUGUUUGACAUGCAGCUACACGGUCCGUGUAGCCUCAGUGAUGUCGUCUCCUCACCACGCUGCCCAUCUUUGCGGCGCCUUUGCGUGUACGAUGUCAAGGGUCUGGACAAGUUCACAAUCCACUCGGAGUCUCUCCUAGAAUUAGAUCUGCGCCAUCUGCCUAGCCUGCAGCAGCUCAAUGUCGUUGCGCCAGCUCUGCAAGAGUUAGCCGUACCGUACGGCAAUGCUUCACUAGUGAACAAACAUUUUGACCGCAUCAGCAGACUUAUUCUCAACCUUGACUAUCCACUGGUCAAAUGUAGCAACCGAUUCUUGAUGGAAGAGAUGACAAAGUUUCCUAAAGUUACAAGCUUGACAUUGGCUGUAAUGGCAUUUGAACAUUCCUUUGGAGCCAGCUUGUUUCAUGUUCUCAGGAUAUCUAGUGGUAUAAGAGAGCUGGAGGUUAAACUUGCCUUGCCGAGCAAACCGAAGGCAUACCCUCCGUGCCAAUCAGGUUGCAUUUGUGCUGAGCCAUCAAACUGGGAAACCGAGGAACUCGUGCUACCUUGCCUCAAAGAAGUUGCAAUCAUUGGCCUGAGAGGAACUGAACAUGAACUCGCUCUUGUGAAAAGCGAGCUGAGCGAGAGAGCGGCCUCGCAGUGGAAGGGAAAGAAAAAGGGGCAACCAGCACGAGCAGCGGCAGGGAAAGAAAAAGGGCGUCUUCCCCACGAACCCUACCCGCCUCCUCGCCUCCUCCUCCAUUCACGCCCGCCCCUCGCCCCCCGCCCUCCCUAUCUCCCCUUUCCCCGAUCCCCAUGGUCGCUGCACUACUCCCGCAUCCGUCCUCCUCCUUCCUCCCUCGUCGCGCGCCCCGCCGUCGUCCUCAACGUCUCCGCCACGCUCAAGGCCCGCGUCCGCAAUCCCACCCUCUUCGCGCUGGACUACGCCCACCUCGACGUGGCCAUCGGCUACCGCCGCGAGCUGCUCGGCACCGUCAGUGUGGCCUGUGUGUGUGCUGGGUUUCUAGAGCGCACCGUGGAUCCUUUUUUGGCUGCUGAUGUGAGCUUCUUCGGCUUCUUCCAGCGGCCCAGCCAUGACGUCCUCAAGCCGCCGACGCUCAGAGCGACAUCAACGGCCCUCUCCCAAGCUGCACUGCUCCUGAUCUUCGUCUCCGAGUCGUUUAAAUCUGAACGCAAGACCAAGGUAUCACAUAUUUCUUGUAAAAUGUCGAUGGAAGAGUUCUUCCUUCAACUUAUGGUGGAGACCAAGAACAAACAAUUGUUUAUGAAAGGUUUGAUUGCAGGAUUCUUGCCGGAGGAGACGAACUUUUAUGGAUUCUUGCUGGAGGAGAUGAACUUUUAUGCUGUGUUUUUGCCCCUGUAUGUGUCGCUUCAGAUCAGAGGAGCUGUUGAAGGCCAAGGUUUUCUUUGUGAGAAUGCCAUAGUUACAAGAAAAGAUUGCCUGAAAGAUAAAUACAUUGAGAAGAUGGAACUAGAAUUAAACUUCCGUCCAACUGCAGCCACCACCAACAGCAAUGUAGGGAUCUAUGGCGGGCAAGACCAAAGUGCUGCAGCCGCACGAGGGGGGCCCAAGGCCAAGCCUACACUAGCAGCGGCGAUGACGGAGGCGGAGGCGAAGGAGCUCCCCAAGGCCAUCACGUGGCAGCUGGUCCAGGACAAGCUCGCCUGGGUUGCCGUGGCCGGCUCCGGCGAAGGAGGAGGGUGGAGGUGUGGUGGACAAGGACGCCAUGGCCGCCUUCGGCACAGUGCCAACAUCUUCAUCCACUGCCUCUCUGCCACUUCAGAAUAA